rnacentral:rRNA from 1 species
GACGAACGCUGGCGGCGUGCUUAACACAUGCAAGUCGAGCGGAGCGGCGAACGGGUGAGUAACGCGUGAGUAACUGCCCCCCUCUCUGGGAUAACAGUUGGAAACGGCUGCUAAUACCGGAUAGUGGGGGAUGACUCGCGUCCUAUCAGCUUGUUGGUGGGGUAGUGGCCUACCAAGGCGACGACGGGUAGCCGGCCUGAUCGGGCGACAUGCCACCAUGGGCUUGGAUACGGCACAAACUCCUACGGUAGGCAGCAGUGGGGAAUAUGGCACAGUGGGGGAAACCCUGAUGCAGCAACGCCGCGUGCGGGAGGACGGCCGUCGGGUUGUAAUCCGCUUUCAGCCAUGAAGCGGUAGUGGCAGAAGAAGCACCGGCUAACUACGUGCCAGCAGCCGCGGUAAUUC